CAAAGGAAUUGACGGGGACCCGCACAAGCGGUGGAUGAUGUGGAUUAAUUCGAUGCAACGCGAAAAACCUUACCUACCCUUGACAUGUACGGAAGACCGAAGAGAUUUGGUUGUGCUCGAAAGAGAACCGUAACACAGGUGCUGCAUGGCUGUCGUCAGCUCGUGUCGUGAGAUGUUGGGUUAAGUCCCGCAACGAGCGCAACCCUUGUCAUUAGUUGCUACAUUCAGUUGAGCACUCUAAUGAGACUGCCGGUGACAAACCGGAGGAAGGUGGGGAUGACGUCAAGUCCUCAUGGCCCUUAUGGGUAGGGCUUCACACGUCAUACAAUGGUACAUACAGAGGGCCGCCAACCCGCGAGGGGGAGCUAAUCCCAGAAAGUGUAUCGUAGUCCGGAUCGCAGUCUGCAACUCGACUGCGUGAAGUUGGAAUCGCUAGUAAUCGCGGAUCAGCAUGUCGCGGUGAAUACGUUCCCGGGUCUUGUACACACCGCCCGUCACACCAUGGGAGCGGGUUUUACCAGAAGUAGGUAGCUUAACCGCAAGGAGGGCGCUUACCACGGUAGGAUUCGUGACUGGGGUGAAGUCGUAACAAGGUAGCCGUAUCGGAAGGUGCGGCUGGAUCACCUCCUUU
rnacentral:rRNA from 1 species